rnacentral:misc_RNA from 1 species
UGUGGGAGCUGGCUUGCCUGCGAUAGCGGUGUGCCAGUCAACAUCUCUGGUCCUGACAGGCCGCCAUCGCAGGCAAGCCAGCUCCCACA